rnacentral:lncRNA from 1 species
GGAGCUGAAACUCUGACGGAUCUCAGAGAGCGUGAGGCCACAGAAGGUGGAGAAAAGUUGUGGAUUCCGGGCGCCGACAGCCUGCAGGGCCAAAGCAGCCGGGAAUAGGACCACUCAGCAGGGAUCCGGCUUGACCUUCGGAGAAGCAGCCGGACCCGCCCAAUUUGGCUGCCUGUGUCGAUUUCGGGGUCAGGGGAAGCCUCUGGCCGGCGGCGUGAACCCGAGGGCUGCAGGAUGCGCUCCAAACACAGGGCCCCGGGGCUGUGCGGGGUGCACUGCAGGACAGAGGACUACAAAUCUGCCAGUGGAGAAGCAAAUGGUGACCCACUCCAGUAUUCUUGCCUGGGGAAUCCCAUGGAUGGGGAACCUGGCAGGCUACAGUGGCAUGGAGUCACGAAGAGUUGGACAUGACUGAGAGACCAAACGAAAACAACAAAUCUGCCAGAAUCUCAUUUGUGGCUCUGUCAAGCUAUUUGCAGAAGUAUUCUUGAACUCCAAACAUUUAUUUCUAAAUGUUUUUAACACACUGAUUGGAGUUUUCCUUUUGCCCUUAGAAGAUCUGGGAAAAAUAUUGAAUUUUCAGUAUCAUCUGAAGUACAGUAUCUUCAGUAUCAUUUUGAAUAUUCAAUUAAAAAUAUUGAAUAUUCACUGUCUUCCUUUAAGUUAAUAAAGAAUUUCUUAUGUUC